UGAUAGAGGCGCGGUUAUCAAGAGUAGCUCCCAAGAAUGGCGCAGGGGCGCCGGGGGUGAAAGGGAUUGCCGCCGAAGAGCAGUUUGCACCCCGUGCGGCUGUAUCUGGGUCGCCGGACAAUAUCCGGCGGACUGUCACUCUCGUGAAAAUCGAGAAGUGGGGAGCUGUCAGG
rnacentral:ncRNA from 1 species